rnacentral:rRNA from 1 species
UACGUAGGGGGCGAGCGUUGUCCGGAUUUAUUGGGCGUAAAGAGCGUGUAGGCGGCCAGGUAGGUCUGCUGUGAAAACUCGAGGCUCAACCUCGAGACGUCGGCGGAAACCAUCUGGCUAGAGUCCGGAAGAGGAGAGUGGAAUUCCUGGUGUAGCGGUGAAAUGCGCAGAUAUCAGGAAGAACACCCGUGGCGAAGGCGGCUCUCUGGGACGGUACUGACGCUGAGGCGCGAAAGCUAGGGGAGCGAACGGG